AAUACAACCCCAAACACAUCAAAAUGGAUAUUCCAUGCCCAUUGUCAUGCCACCAGCUCGGCCUAUUAAUCAUAUUACGUUAAUUAACGCGAUGCCAUGAGAAUCAUUAUUCUAUCGUAAAUCCGUAAAGACGACACAAUUAACGUAAAUAUUUUUAUUUCUUUCAAUGAAAUUUUUUAAAUGACUAAUUAGUGAAUUCUAUACCAAUUCAAACAAUUUGUUGGAUGUUCAUAUAAAUUUGGAUAUUUUUAAUUAUCAAUAUAAAAAUAUUCUGAUCGUAUUGACGAUAAAUUUUUGAUUUGCGGCGAUCGCAAUAGUUUGGUGAAUAUAAUUUUGAUGUUUUGUCAAUGCAAUUGUCGAGGAACUUUCACAUUCUCAUCCCCGUUCUCUCUCAAUGUAUUCUGGAUUGACGAAAUUGGGGAUGGAUUUUAUAUUUUCUUUCGGGGCCACAGGCAUGAGUAAAUAUGGGGAAUUACCAACGAAAGGUGAAGGUAGAAAAAUAGAGGCGAGGAUCGAGGCCUUUGAGCGUGCCGGCUGUCGAAACGCGCACGCGUUCGACACUAUAUCGACCUCCCUUCGAGAUAUAGCUGGUGGUGGGCACCUCAACUGUCUUUUAGCCAGCUGCUGCUCCACCAUCCGGCACUCAAUCUCUUCAGUUUCUCAUUAUUGAUUUCAUUUGUACUUCUCUUUUACUUUGGAUAUUUUUUUUUGCACCUGAGAGAGUGACGGACCUGUGUCAGGUACUGAGUCCUUGCGAGAAUGGGAUUUCUCAUGUGAGGGAAGAAUUUUUUUAAGUCCCGAAUUUGCAGAAUUUAUGUUUAAAAUUUACCUGAUGUUUUUAAUUCAUUUCUUUCAUUUGAAAUUAUUGAGAGAAAUUAUUGAUAUGUGUGGACAAAAAUGAAUCGUCUGUCUAUAGCUGUUUUCAGUCCAUCUCAGUAUGUUAUAGUUUUUAUAGUUUUUCUCCGAAUAGUACCAAAAUGUUUAGAAUGGUUUUAAUGAAUAGACCCAGAGAGAAACAGAAAGGAAUGAAUGAACAAGGACCUAUUGGAAAUGGGUUAUUAGAAAUAAUAAUAUCCUGGAAAUAAUUGUAACUAUUUCCUUCUUUAUUAUUUAACUCAAAUAAUAGUGCUCGGAAGACACAUCCGCUGUGUACCGAUUCCCUAGAGGAACUAACUAGAUCUACAAAGGGAAACAACACCCUGGACAUUUUAGUCUCAUGCUCUCAAAGAGUCCUAUUCAUUCCACUUUGUCCACAUACUUAAAAUCAAACAUAAACAUGAUACCUCACACUUCUCAGAAUUCCAACCCAUAAAAAUGUUUUUCAAUUCAAGUAUAAACACUCAGGAGAAUAAGAUUAAUUUUUGUUUUCUAUUUAUUUCAUGAAAAAUCCAACAGGGCCUUUUGUCAAAUGGGUCUAGGGUGUGAAAUCUUUGGUCACUAAGAGUCAGUUGAUCUGGAGAUAUCAUACCAGAAAGAUAUACCUCCUGCGAUUAUAAUAAAUAAUUAAAGCCGAUAGUUCAUAAAUAUCAUCUGAGUUGUGGCAUUGUCGUAUAAAACAUGUUUCCACAUAAUCUUUAAUGCACCUGGUGCUCGGUAGCCCUCCGUAUCCACUACCAAAAAUAUAGAAUAAUUUCAAAAUUAAUAAUAACUUGGCAACUUUGUUGAAUUUUCCGCUCACCGGCAAAGCUGGGUAAAAAAAUGGUGUGAGCAAGUGUGAUGGCUUUAUGAGUUGGAAAAGGAAGAUCCCGCAGUUGUCUCUAUUUCUAGCCUACGUGAGCGUGCAAAAACGAUUUAUCCCGGCGUAUUAACCGCGUGUAAUAAGCCAAACCUCACUCCAGACACCCUCCGGUGCUCGGUGUAUAUUAAAUUCUAUGUUGAUAUUCACCUAUUUUUCGCUAUUGUCCUUGGUAUAUACCUCCCCCGUACCUCCCCCGCCCUGUACUCCACUCAAAACGCGAGCCAAGUGAUAAGUUUGAAGACCCCAAUUGAUCUCGAAUUCCCAUAACAAUAUAAAUAAACAAAGUGGCGAAAAUACAGGGUCUAAAAAAAGAAUAUUCAAAAGCUAAACUCAUAAUUUCUAAUUUCGUUAGCUUGGCUUGGUCUGUUUACGUGCCCCUGCGCACAUUUUUUUAUGAGAAACUGAAAAUUAUAAUAUUUUUGUGGAUUUUUUGAGUGAAAAUAUUUUUAAUGUUGUAUUUUAAGACGAGAAAAAAACUUUUUUUUAUUUUUGAAACGCAGAAGAGGUUUUGAAAUUCAGUGAUAAAUGUUGUUGUCUGGUGAAAAUACUUUAAUUUUAGCAACACAACGUACCUUCAUUUUUCGACAGAUUUCGACAUUGUAAUUUAAAUUCGAUAACACUAGAAUUUUUGAUCUUUAAAAUUUAAAAGUUUCCAUUACCCUACCAGAAUAAAUAGUGAUAAUAUUAUUAUAAAUUUUUAUCUCAUUUUUCAUGGCAAAACAGCGUUGUCACUCUCAAAAUUUUGCGGAAGGGCUCGUACGUCGUAAUAACUCUUCCAAAAAAUGAAAUUCUCCCCCAAAAAGCCAAUUCCUAAUUUUUAAUUUUCCAUAAUUUCUAACUUCGUCAUCGUCUGGGGUUCCCUCCCCUACGUCUUCUCGAAUCUGGUGAAAAAAAAAAAACAUGAGAAUAACCCCACGAGUACCGAAUUUCCAGUCGACCACUCAUCAAAGAGAUCGAUCUGACCUAAUUUCCGAAAAAGAGACGCGGAGAAGGAGAAAAAAUUGCUCCAUUGCAAAAAAAAAAAAAAUCAAAAAUCCGUCCCUGGGCGCCCGGAAGAUGUUCCGCUUUUCCGGAUGCUACGUCACUGCACGGGGCAGAAAGCGGCGGCGAGUGAAGACAGUGGUAUCGGGCCAACGUCGGGUGCGACAGAGGGAGGCAGUGUUAUCGGGAGGUACAGCGCAACAUUCCCUUUCCUGAAAAGCCGUCGGGUUCAGUCGGCUCUCGGCCGCCACCAUCGUCAAUACUGACGGAUCGGGCGGGCAAUUCCCCAAUUUCAUUGUUUAAACAAAUUAACUGAAACAAGUGUCUCCGGUCCUUGGAGUGAUACGUCAUCGGGGUCCGCAAUCGGAGGCCGGAAGACAAAAAAAAAAAUAGAAUCAAACUGCCAAUGGAAUUUGCCCUGUCAAUUAUUUCCACAUGCCAACGACAAUGCAAUUCCAGUCGUCAGCCCCUGUGAUUACCUGAUAUAUCGGUAGGAUCAGUAGGCAAAGGGCCUUUGUCGGGUCAAAGGAAGCCCAUUCGACUGUGAGUUUCAGUGGUUGAGGGCUGUCUGCGAAGAGUUGGUGCAACAUUCCCUUUUACAAUCAGAAUCACAGCGUGAAAUCCUCGUGAAUGUCAAAAUUCAAUUCCGUGACACUUCUCGGUGGAGGGAAUUGACUUUUCACAGGUGCAUUGGUAUUCAUGAGACUGUGCGUGAGCGAAAUUGAGGGUGAAAUUGUUUUUGAAAAAUGUGAAAUACGAAGAGGGAAAGAAAAUGGAAAAGAAAUUGAAUGAGAAAGAAAAAUGUUUAAAUAAUUUUCAAAUGUCGAUAAUGUACUGGAAAAAUGUUAGAGCUAAAUCCGGAAAUACGCGAGAGAAUACUCUACAAAGGCUCGUGCGACAUUUGAUGAAAAAAUCGAACAGAGGGGAGGAAUUGUCGUCAAUAUCAAAAUUCAAUUUCGCGUCACGCCUCGGUUUAUUAUUAUUUUUUAUUGUUAAAAAUAGUAUUCAAAAAUCGAAAAACCAGAGGAAUAUGGGGGGGAUAUGCUGCGAAGGGUUCGGGUUGCAGUGGACGAAAAAUGUUGAGAAACAGAGGGAGAACAUUUUUUGGAUCAAAAUUCAAUUCCGUGUGACGUUUUUAUAAAGGGAAUUGCGAAAAAAUAUUCAAAAUAGAAAGACAGAAGAAUUGUUGGAAUAAAAUAGAGAAACACGAGAGACGAUAUUUUAAAGGGAAUUUGCGUAACAUUUAAUUUAAAAAUUGGAUAACAAAGGCAAAAAAUUCUGGUGAAUAUCAAAAUUCUUUUCAAACUUUGAGUACAAAUAUAAAAAAUAAAUACACAUAAGAAAGGUUUAAAUACAGUAUAGAAAUACGUUAGAGGGUAUACUGGCAGCAGUUCGUGCGGCAUUUCAUAAAAAACGAAUAAAAUCGAGACAUCUCCGUGCAUUUCAAAAUUCAAUUCCGUGUCAGUUCGAUCUAUAAAAUUUACUUUCCCAGGUGCAUUGAUAUUUUGCGUCAACGCUUAAGUAAAACUGAGGGUGAAAUUGUUUUUUUUUAGUAUUGAAAAUUCGUUUAAAAAAUAUAAUUCAGUUUUGGGUCUUUUAGACGUUUAAAAUUGAGUUUUACGGGUCCGUUAAUAUUUCAUGUCUCUGCGUAAGCGAAAUCGAGGAUAAAAUUGUUUUUAAAAAACUGUAAAAAUAGAAAUCUCCAUUUCUAGAACUGAUGAAUGAUAAAUUUUCAAUGUUGAGUUGAUGGAAAAGUUAAACUUGUUUGUUAUUCUGAUUGAGUUUUAUCCCUGGGAGUUGAGUAAACAGGGAUCCCCGCAAUCAUACUGGGAUGGAUAAUAAUAUUGGACCAACGAUUAGACCGAGGCCCGUUAGGUAUAAAGGAAGGGGAGUUGAGGGUACUGUGGAUUGAAGGGAGAAUAGGGACGGAUGGAGGAGGGGGUAGAGUGACGAGAGUGGUCUCGAAAGAGGGGUGGUGGUUCGAUCGCGCUUACCUUCGGUUCUUAUCAGAGAAAAACGAGUACCCACGGAGAUGGAAAAUGAUACUCGACUAUUUUUUUUAGCCUCAUCUCCCUGACUUUCUCGCGAAAUUCAAUCAAUUUUCUAGGCUAAUUCCCAGACUCUUUGUUGCGUCUCGAACGUCCGAGAAUUUUCUAGGGGAAGUCAUGGCACUUCAUUAUUUUGCAAGUGACAAUCUCUAAAAAAUCCUAUCUCUUAAUUUUAUUCGAGGACAUUAAUUAAUUUCUUGGAAUAAUUUUCUCAACUAUUUUUCAUUUUUUCAAUUGCUUUGUUCUCUAAAGAAAAGGUUUAGCUGUUAAUCGAAAUCGAAUGAGCAUUAUUAGGUCACUGAGCAGAUAAAUAUCGUUACUGAUCGAUAAUAAUUUCUGUUAUCAUCAGUGAAAAAACGGGAAGUGUUUGAGAUACGAAAAAAAUCGUGACAUAAAAUAUUAUUUAGCGGUUGACACUUUGAAACAAUUCUCUUCUCUCUUUUCUUUAUAAAAAAAUCGAUAAAUAUUCUAGACUAGUUUUCGUCUUUGAUUUUAAUUUUCGGAAAAUUCCUGUUUUCCUGUCAACAAUUUUCCCCAUCUCCUCCAGCUUUUGAAGAAAUAAAAUACAUUUUAUAGGAUAAUCUCCCGCUCUAUUUUAUCCCGAAUCUCCGAGAAUGUGUAAGAGGAUUUCUCGCUGUUUAUUUUUAGGAGAAAGCUUCAACUCUUCUGCAAACUAAUGCACAGAUCAUUGAAACCCACAAAACUCCCAAAAACUAUUUUUAAUCAUUCCUUCUUCCAUUUAAAAAAAAAAUCGCCAAAAAUUUCUAGACUAAUCCGUAUUCGUAUCACUCCAAACUCCCACAGAAAUUAAUCGGGGAAUCAUCAUUAAAAUGACUGUAAACGCAAUUAACCCGCCACUAAUGAUCAA